rnacentral:lncRNA from 1 species
GGACACAAACAUGCAGUCCUUAACAGUUACCAUGUACCCCUUCACCAUCAUCUGUUAGUAAGAGAGUAGAAGAUUCAUAUUUUUUAGCCAAAGCAGAUACAGUAUCACUCUGCUGCCAACAGAAAUAUUACUAAUGGACCAGGAACCCCAUGGUGGCUUUUCUUGUUGAUUAAAAGCCCGAGCCCCAGGGAGACUCAGUCUUCCCCAGAGGGAGUUGUUUGGGACUCUCCCUACUGCCUGGGCUCCUGUUAACAUCAGCCCUUGUUGACACAUCCACCCGCAUUUUUCUGGACAUGCAUUUUACACAGUCCAUCACAAUGAGCACACAAAAACCUUAAAGCAGAUUCUAGAUAUCUAUUUCCCACCUCAAAACUUCCCUUUAAAAGUAUUACUACAGGAGUUCCCAUCGUGGCUCAGUGGUUAACGAAUCCGACUAGGAACCAUGAGGUUGCGGGUUCGGUCCCUGCCCUUGCUCAGUGGGUUAAGGAUCUGGCAUUGCCGUGAGCUGUGGUGUAGGUUGCAGAUGCGGCUCGGAUCCCGAGUUGCUGUGGCUCUGGCGUAGGCCUGCGGCUAUGGCUCUGAUUUGACCCCUAGCCUGGGAACCUCCAUAUACUGCGAAAGUGGCCCAAGAAAUGGCAAAAAGACAAAAAAAAAAAAAAAAAAAAAAGUAUUACUACAGACCUGGGAAAUUCUGAACUUUGUUUUCAUCAUUUUCUUACAUGGCUCUUGGUUUUCUAAGUACAGGGUCUAGGCUCCUGCACUCAAGAAGGCUGAAACAAGACAUUUAUCAAAGAUGCUAGCUGGAGUUGUUUAGAACUACCAUUUGACUGUCCACUAGAUUCUAGGUACUUAACAUGUACACUCUUUUUUAAUUCUUAACAUAACAAGGCAAGGUAGAUAGUAUUAUCUUCAUAUUACAGACGAGUUAAACAUGGCAAGGUAGAUAGUAUUAUCUUCAUAUUACAGACGAGUUAAACAUGGCAAGGUAGAUAUAUUAUCUUCAUAUUAUAGACGAGUUAAACAUGGCAAGGUAGAUAGUAUUAUCUUCAUAUUACAGACGAGUUAAUGGAAAUACAGAGUGGUAACAUUAUUUGCUCAGAAUAAAGCCAGAGCAGGGCCUCAAACUCAUGGUUCUGACUCCAAGGCCCACCGUCUUUCUUCUGUUAGAUGCUGCUUCCCAGAGCAACAGUCAGAGAACAGUACCCUUUAUGAGAGUAAGGAGAUGCUCACUUGAUUUAGAGGGGAAAAAAAAAAAAAAAGAAAGAAAAAAGGCCCCUUCAUUAUGAAAUGUAUUCACUUACGUCUGUAAGAGGCAUUCAUAUCUCACCAAAGGGGGGAAAAAUGAAAGAAAGACUCUACCCUUAAGGGCAUCACUUACCAAGUUUCAUGAUUAGUAAUUAAUUCCAUGUGAAACAGGGGCCUAAGGUUAAUGAGUGAGUGAGAGAAAGAGGGAAAGGAAUAUAGGGGAGAGGCACAAAAAAGACACUAAAGAGAUGGAAGGGCAUAGAGAGGAAAAGAUAUUAAGAAAAUAAAAGACUUUUUGUGUUCUGUUUCUCUUGAAGUAUUAGAAGUAACUUCCUUAUCAGUGAGACUCUUGAGAAAGAACUUUGAAAACAUCUUUCAAGACAAAGAAAUGAGGCCCUGUAUCAUUUAGGGGCGUUCUAUAUUAACUUAAGUCUUGCAAAUCCAAUAAGAUUUCCAGACAGAAUCC